rnacentral:lncRNA from 1 species
AGGUCUGAGGAACGGAGCUCCCGGAAGUAAAGGCAUUGCCUCACAUUUGAGUGCAUGAGGAGAAGUAAGGAAGAUUCUAUCACACUCUUGCUGUCAAUGGUUACAAGCCAUAGCUCAGAGUGAGUAUAUGUCCCAGGGGCCACCUCCUGUCCUUCAGGCUGCAUGGUUCCAGCCAAGACAGGAAAGGGUAGUUAGCCUUCACAAACCCAAGUGGAAACUAUGUAUAAGUAUCUAUGUCAGUCACUUCUCUUGUUUCUUCCAUGAGACACCUGGCAACAGUACUUAAGGAAGGAAAGGUUUGCACUGGCCCGCAGUCUGAAGGAGGACAGAGGACACAAGGCAAUGAGAGCAGCUCUAGGUGUAGCCGUGGGAGCCCGAUAUAGCUGGACGCGCUGCAUCUGAAGCAUGACUUCAGGAUUUGUGGUCAGAAGCACGAGGUGGAGAAGUCCUGAUACAAUCUUUGUACUGUACGGUUGCCGUCUGGACUUCAUUGACUAUCCCGGAGCGAUCCAGCACAAGUGACAAGUGAAGACCUUGGCUGUGUUUCAGAAGCACAAUUACAACUCUUGGGGUAAAGAGCCUCAGCGACAAGGCCCAGGAAAGCAGGUGUAUUGAGAAUUAGAGGUAGUCACAGGGGAUGAAACAUAAAAUCAACGUGCCAGAGGUUGACCUGGGCUCUUCCACCCUCACUGUGAUCUUCAGUUUCGCUGCGUGCACUCAAGGCACAAACCUGGGAUUUGAGAUUUCAAGCUGUGUCUGUAAACUUAUUUUCAGAGACUCGGAGCGGGCCCCAGAGGAGAGGUAGGGAGUGGUCCUGGCAGCUGUUGGAUGAAGCAGGAUUCAUCAUGUUUGAAAGAUUCUUCUCGGGGUGUUAUACCCCAAGAGACUGUUGUUCACCGAGUGGAAUACAGCAUCCAAGACCCUAUGAGGGCCUGAGACUCUCAGAGGAAAUUUCUUAUAACACGAUAUUUUUCUCCCAGUUCCCCCAGUAAAGCUUCGCUACUCAAAUGAUCGUUAGCUUGAGAGACCCUGUAGAGCAGGCCUUACCACCUCUGCAAACAGACUCAAAAGGUUAAGAUGGUGCUUGAGAGCCAGACGGCCAAGGGUCUGCAUUUGUUUGUCUGAUUUACUUUUGUUUUUGUUUAUGUUAAGUAAGAGAAGAAGUGAUAUCAUGUCUAGUUAUGAUAGCUGAUGGUACGUACAGAUUUUCUCAGUGUGUGAAUAUGAUUGACUUUGGGACAAAAGUACCAUUUUGGGUCGGGGAGUUUGUUCUGAGCUCAGGGUGUUCUCAAACUUGUGACCCUUCUGCCUCAAACUGCUGGGUGCCCAAUGACAGGGACCCACUAAUCCUGUGUCUCAAUGACUUUUUAAAAAUAGAGCUGCAGGACGAUAAAACAGGGGAAUGCACUUUCUCCCGAGCCCUGACAACCAGAAUCCCACCCCUGGAAGCUACAUAGCAGAGGAAAGCACUGACUCUGUGCUUGUCCUGCCACACAUACACACACACACACACACACACACACACACACACACACACACACACACACACCAAAUAAAUAAAUGUUAAAGUUUUCUUAUUUAAAAUAUACCAUUCUGAAAAAAAAUGAGUAAAACCUAAUUUACUUUAGUUAGCAGAAUGCAAAAGUCCAGGCUACAUUUUGUCACGUAAAAUGUAACUAAACUCACCCCUACCACAUCCCUCUGUGUAAAAAUGCAGGAUGUGCUUAGAGUUGAGUAAUAGUCAUUGGAAAAUAAUUUUCUGGCAAAGGUACAAACUAUGUGUGGUUCCCAUAGAAUUAAACAAAAAUAGAUCUGGUUUGAAAUAACAAUAAAAUCCCCCAGGGUCUGACUAAUAGAAGAUGGCUGGCACAGCUUGAAUUCCAUUGGAAAGACUAAAAUUUUAAAGCACAGUCACAGAAUAGAGUCAUUUAUCAUCCUUUGAACUAGGGCAGCCAUCUUGGAAAUACCCUGGUGCCUGGGACUUCAGAUAGGAACCGGAAAUCUGCGGCCAACAAGUUCAAACAAAAACCAAAAGUGGUUUCUUUUGUAUCGUGGUACUUUAAAACAUUGAAAGUGGCCUGGCCGGAUACCAGUGGGCAUUAUGAUGCUCACACAUGAAUUAUCUUUAAAAUAGAUCCUGUGUACUAACAUCUCUAGAACAUUAAUUGAAAAGUGUUUCUUGCUACUAGAUCCUAAAAUAAGAAUAUGAUCAGAAUAUAUUGCUCUUUAAGCUUUCUCAAACGAGGAUGAACAUGAUCAUGUGAGAUUUUUAAUUUGCCUUUGUGUACAAUAAACACAGCCUAUUCCCA